ACGGGUGAGUAACACGUGGGAACGUACCCUUCGGUUCGGAAUAACGCUGGGAAACUAGCGCUAAUACCGGAUACGCCCUUAUGGGGAAAGGUUUACUGCCGAAGGAUCGGCCCGCGUCUGAUUAGCUAGUUGGUGGGGUAAUGGCCUACCAAGGCGACGAUCAGUAGCUGGUCUGAGAGGAUGAUCAGCCACACUGGGACUGAGACACGGCCCAGACUCCUACGGGAGGCAGCAGUGGGGAAUAUUGGACAAUGGGCGCAAGCCUGAUCCAGCCAUGCCGCGUGAGUGAUGAAGGCCUUAGGGUUGUAAAGCUCUUUUGUCCGGGACGAUAAUGACGGUACCGGAGGAAUAAGCCCCGGCUAACUUCGUGCCAGCAGCCGCGGUAAUACGAAGGGGGCUAGCGUUGCUCGGAAUCACUGGGCGUAAAGGGCGCGUAGGCGGCCAUUCAAGUCGGGGGUGAAAGCCUGUGGCUCAACCACAGAAUUGCCUUCGAUACUGUUUGGCUUGAGUAUGGCAGAGGUCAGUGGAACUGCGAGUGUAGAGGUGAAAUUCGUAGA
rnacentral:rRNA from 1 species